UGUACAGUGUACAAUGUGACGAGCGUUAGUCGAAAUGGUCGACAUGUCUCGCGACAAAGUCCUAGCCAAGUUAUACGGCGGCAGCUAUUCGCCUGCUGGUUGUGUCCACUACUCCGCUUAGAUAAGCACGGUCAGCUCACCGGAAACUUUGCACUGGCAGUGAUAUCCAGUGACCGUGCACCGAGUUCUCCGGCGAGUAAUCAUUAAUUAAUUGCAUUUUGUAAUCAGCGGGCCGUGCGCUCGCUUUCGUUUCCAUUCGACGUUCUAUAAACCCCAUUUACUUACUCGCCGCGCGGUAGUGCAAAUAGUAUUACCGUAAUAACGUCAGCGUUACUACUGACGAGUUAUUGGUAUAGGUAAAAAAUAGCCAGCUAGGCACUGCAGCAGUAUUGGUAACGUUUUAUUAAAGAACAUUUCAGGUUGGUACACGCUGUCAGUUUAUAUAAGCACACGUUCGUUGAGCGCUUGAUUCGAUUGCUAAAUAUUUUUUUAUCAAUUGUUUCAGCGUUUCUCCAUGGCGUAUGAGCUGUCGUAUUUUUGCAAAAAUACCGCUCUUCACCGUCACGCUUGCCUUAUGGAUCCAUCAAGUACAAAUCAAAUACAAAUAAAUUGUCGCAUAUUGCAUAUCGUGUAUUAAUGUAAUAUAAAUCAUCUUUCAGCAAACCUCUUCAUAAAACUUAAUAAGCUGAAGAACCGGCUGUGCGUCAAUUCCGAGGAAAUUGUGGCGAACCACCGUGCCCUUUACACCGAGCUUUUAUGCCGUCAUUCCGAAUACGAUGUUACGAGUCAGUUUAACCGGAGUAAUAUCUCGAAAUCCAUUAGCACCGUCUCCGCGGACCGCAAUCUUGAUAAUUCCACGUGGACUCGGCUCGAGAGUGCGGCGAACGAGCCAGAAUCACCACCGAAUGCGGAAACACGUCGGCCAAAUGAACGCGCGAACGCUCGCGAGAACGCGAGAUGGUUGGCUGUAGAACGGCAGGGAUGAAGAGGCAGGUCAGAGAGGAGAGAACGCGAAAGUCGAAAGAGCAAGGACUAGACGGGGAGAAAAUACGGAGGGUUGCCUGAGAGAAAGAGAGAGGGAGAAUAAGGCCGCCAAGAGACGUACGACUCCCCGGGGAAAUUUAGGUGCGACCUCCAUGUAUCACAGAAGCUGCCGUAAGUAGAGUGAGAAGAAUCGACAGACCGCGGAAGGACGAAUAUACCGGCAAAAUGGUAAUAAAAUCGAUGCCCCGGAUCUGCUCCGAUUUGUAAUUGAAUCAAAUUAAUCACCCCGACCGACCUCGAACAGAAUCCGUACCCCCGCAGACUGUCGACUCAUCCACCGCCAUCUCCAAUUAAUAGCGAACGACUGGAGAACAGCCGGGGUAAAAGGGGAUGAACGGGACGCGGGUAUGGAGGGUCAUUUCGACGUUUCGUUGAAACUUUAUAAAACGAAUCCAAUUACCGACGGCCGUUUGUCAAAGACUCAAAGCUACCAAAAAGUUUUGCUCGCAAAAAUGAUGUUGUUCGCCUCGCAUAUUUUUGCAAUUUGCUAUCAGUGAUAAAAAUAAAUGGGUGAAAAACCGACGAAACUGCGAUCACAUAGAUUGACAUGCAGCGAAAAUCGCGUAUAAACUCGCGCUCUGAGAAAAUUAAUCGUAAUUGAAUUAAACGUAGAUAGAUUUAAAUGAUGAAUUAAUUAUUUUAAAUCAAAGACAGAAUGUACAAACCUUGCUCAUUUAUCAAAUGAAAAAUAUCAAUAACAUAUUUAUUAUUAUGAUUAAAAUUUGUUUAAUUUCGGAAUUGUUUUACGGAAAAAGUAAUUCAUCGGUGUUUAUAAUUCACAUAGAUUUGUACUUGUACAAUUGUCAUUUUGUAACUUUUCAGUUAUGAUUUAAUAAU